ensembl:lncRNA
UGGCUUUCGGCAUGGAUUCUCAUUCUCAGCUCGGCUUCUAUCUAUGCCGCUUGUGACGGUGCUCAAGCGUACAUCCACAUGUCUGGAAGGGGACAAAAUCUACUUCAGGAUGUAGGACUAUUUAUCGGCCUGGCAAAUAUGCCGAGCUUUGAGACAUCCUCCUAGCCUUCCUCCAGCAGUAGAGAGAUAGCGGUGGCCCACACCAAUGUCACUCCCUCCAAGUCGGAAGCCCUCUGCAGGACAGCGCAGGCGGUCAGUGGCCACUAGUAUUGGGCGUCAUUCCAAUAGCGAUGCCAACAAAACAAGCACUUACCCCACCAACACUUAUCCUGGCAGGGCUAUCGAGGGCAGUCCUACUGGACGUACAUACCCUGGCACACCCAGGUAAGACAAAACGUCUCACCUUUUUAUUUAAGGCAUAUAGGGCCAGUUUCACAGACAUGGAUUAAGCCUGGUCUAGGCCAAAAAAUUAUGUUCAAUAGAAAACUCCAUUGAGCAUGUUUUUUUUUUGGUCCUAGACUAGGCUUAAUCUGUGUCUGUGAAACCGGCCCUUAGUAUUUAAGCGUAGUUUGGUUUUAAGGCAGGUUUUUUUUAAGGCAGAGCUCAAAGUUCCAUGCACAAAAAGGUUUUAGAAAAAAAAGAUUGGGUUGUGUUAGUUGAAGGUUCUGGGUAAACAGGUAAUGUAAUCAAGAUCUUGUUAAUUUAUGACAUAAACCAAAAGCAGAAUCUGCAUACAAACCCCACUGACUGAUCUACUCACAAGCUGUAAAACAG